rnacentral:sRNA from 1 species
GAGCAUCGUAGCCAGGAUGGCAGGCGAU